AGAGUUUGAUCCUGGCUCAGGAUGAACGCUAGCUACAGGCUUAACACAUGCAAGUCGAGGGGCAGCAUGGGAUUAGCUUGCUAAUCCUGAUGGCGACCGGCGCACGGGUGAGUAACGCGUAUCCAACCUUCCCUAUAGUAGAGGAUAGCCCGGCGAAAGUCGGAUUAAUACUCUAUGUUAUUCAACGAGGACAUCUGAAAUGAAUCAAAGGCUUGCCGCUAUAGGAUGGGGAUGCGUCUGAUUAGGUUGUUGGCGGGGUAACGGCCCACCAAGCCAUCGAUCAGUAGGGGUUCUGAGAGGAAGGUCCCCCACAUUGGAACUGAGACACGGUCCAAACUCCUACGGGAGGCAGCAGUGAGGAAUAUUGGUCAAUGGGCGAGAGCCUGAACCAGCCAAGUAGCGUGCAGGAUGACGGCCCUAUGGGUUGUAAACUGCUUUUAUCGGGGGAUAAAGUGCGGGACGUGUCCCGUUUUGUAGGUACCCGAUGAAUAAGGACCGGCUAAUUCCGUGCCAGCAGCCGCGGUAAUACGGAAGGUCCGGGCGUUAUCCGGAUUUAUUGGGUUUAAAGGGAGCGCAGGCCGGAGGUCAAGCGUGACGUGAAAUGUAGCCGCUCAACGGCUGAACUGCGUCGCGAACUGGCUUUCUUGAGUGAGUUCGAUGUGGGCGGAAUUCGUGGUGUAGCGGUGAAAUGCUUAGAUAUCACGAAGAACUCCGAUUGCGAAGGCAGCCCACAAGGCCUUUACUGACGCUAAAGCUCGAAGGUGCGGGUAUCGAACAGGAUUAGAUACCCUGGUAGUCCGCACGGUAAACGA
rnacentral:rRNA from 1 species